GCCUACGACCAUAUCAUGUUGAACACACCGGUUCUCGUCCGAUCACCGAAGUUAAGCAACAUUGAGAGCAGUCAGUACUUGGAUGGGUGACCGCCUGGGAACACUGCUUGUUGUAGGCG